ACUUCAUGAAAAUUUAGAUCGUUACUAACUUUACAACGAUCGAUUAUUUCCCAAAUAGCUUCGGGACACUUGUGAAAACUAAAAAUGUCUAUAAUAAAUUCUUUAAUGCCUAGAAUGUGUACACGCUUUGGCAAAAAGCACGCAGAAAUGGCUUCGCAUUGGAUUGGAACUGGUGCUGCCUAUGGAGCUACUGCAGGACUAGCACUCUGUUAUUUUACCGAAUGG